CCCUUCUCCUCCCCUCAAAGGCCAGGACCCUGUCACCCAUCCCCUUGCCGCGCUGCGGGACUCCAGACCGGUGCGCGGGGAGAUCCAGGCAGCGCGCCGCCUGCCCCUCGCCCCCUCCCCGAAGCUUCUCUGCGGUGCUACGGCCGCAUUCUGCGAGCGCCGACCGGUCCAUCGUCCCGAGCUUGCUUUACUCUGACCUUUUUCUAUCUUGGUGUCCGCUUGUCUCAGUCUCUGAGUCUGUCUCUCUCUCGCCCUCGGUGAAUUUCUCUCUCUAUUUCCUGUGGGAACCGUGCAUUUGUGUGGGUAUCUGCUCGUGGGUCUGGGAAUCCCUCGCUCUAUUUCCCCCACCCCCAGUCGCACUGCAGGGCGGCCCCCCAGCUUUCUGGCGGGCCUUGUAGGCUCUACAGACGGACAGCAAGGACCCCCACGGAGACCUCCAGUGAACCCUGACCUUAGCCCCGGGCCAGUGUUGCCUCCAUCUCUGAGCAUCCUGUGCUCACAAGCCUCAGUUUCCCGCUGUGCAUAGUAGUUAAGAGCAAGGAUCCUGGAAUCAGGCUACUGCAUCCUGGCUUCACUACUCACCAACUCUGUCACCUUGGAUAAACUCUUCAUGCCUGUUGCUUUCUCUCUAAAGUUGAGAUUAAAAACACCUACCUCUUGAUUAAUAUGUAAAAAUAGCCCUCACAUUCGCCUACUUAUGAGAGGGUAUGGAGAGCACAUUGCAGACUCUUGGGCAGAGAGAAGGUGGUUGGGGGUGGUGUAGUCUCCCACCUGGAUCUCCAGGCCUGGUCUAGCUCCCCACUGGGUUACCGCUGCCACCUGAUCCUCCUCAGUCACUGUGCUGAAUUAGAUCCCCUGUAGAUAAGCGCUGGGAGCAGGGGGGAGGGAAUUUGCAGCCCCUGCAGGCGCUCUCCCAGCAGGGCUGGUGUGCGUGUGGAUGAAUCCUCCCUUUUAUCCAACAGCAACCUCCAGUCUAUGGAAUAAUCUGGUGUAAAUCGAACUCCCUCAUUCCACAGGUGGGUCAAGAGAGGCCCAGAGAGGGGAAGGGGCUCACCUAGGCUCCUGCGACAAGAUAGAGCAGGGCCGGGGACAACCCUUGUCACAGAAUCCUCAUGAUAGAGUUCUCUAUCCUCCCAAGCCAGAAGAGGAUGGAAGGCAGGUCUGGCUGCUCAUGUCCUGUGAGAGCAAGUCCUCUGGGCUGCUCUCUGGGGCCUCAGACCGAGGGGAUCUAUCUAAUGUGCUGGGUUUGGAUAAACACACUGUUCUUAGGAAAAAGAGAAGAGGUCCAGUGCUCAAACCAUGGACAGGCAAUUGGGCAGGGACUAGUGGCCUGGAAUCAGAAUUUCUUAGGUGAUAGGGCUCUCCAGAAAAAAGGGGCCUUGGAGAACAGUUUCUUGCAUGAAUCCAGAUAAACUUACAUGCCUAGGGCUGCUAGAUUUGGCAGAUUUAUUUUAUUUGCCAACCCUACACUUACCCCAGGCUUGCUCAUUGCUACAUGGAGAUCUCUCUCCCACUCAUAGACACCCCACACUACCACCCACCAGCUCCAACCAGCCCAGCUCUGCUAGUGUCUAAGGAAAUGGAGAGAAAAGCAGCAUUGGCAUCAUGUGACUCCUUCUCAACUGGUGAAUGUCUUCAUUUCUAAAAUGGCAAAUGUGAACACGUGGCUUCCUUCCUUGCAGUGCUCUCCUGGUCCCCCAGGUCGCAGCCCCCUGCCCAGCUUCAGGGUUAGACUGGCUGAGGCAUUUGCUGCCCAGAUACUCUGGUUCUAACACGCCAGGCAAGACGCUCUACUGAGCACCAGCGGCUGCCAGCCCUUGCCUCUGCCUGGCCCUGCUGCACACUGGCUGCGGCUGAGACCUAGGUCGGGGAAAGGGGAUACAGGCCUCUCAGCUCCUGUUCUGAAAGGUGAGGGUGGGACACGAUCUCAAGGAAUCAUGCAGACUCUUCAAACACACACUUUUACAGUGUGUAACUGUAGGCUCGAGAGAUCAUGUGACUUGCUGGGCUUUUGAAGGGCCCCGGUUGGGCUGGACCCAGGUGUGGAGACUCCUGGCCCAGAGCUCCUCUAGUUAUCCGAAUAACUCUGCUUGGCCCCUGGCGGAGCUGCACGCUUGCCUGGAAGAGGUAUUUCUGGGAGCCUGUCAUCCCUCCCGAGGUUCUGGGCCACCUUGUUUUGAACAAUUCCAGGCGUAGGUGCACUGGGGGCUGGGAGAGGGGCAUUCGGGAUUCCUUCAGUUUUCCUGUCCUCCUCUCGUGUGGGCUUCUCCCACCUGCCGGCUCAGCCUCUUCGACGUCUUCGAGCCGCCGUCUGCGACCCCGCCUGGGUCUGUCACUCCCCUCCGCGAACACCUGGGCGCCUUCCCAGCAGCCUGGGCUGCAGCCUCUACGAAGUACGAGUGACGGGCUCUGUGGGUCUUGGUUACAAUGUCACAGUUCGUGCCCCGCCUCUUCCUUCGUCUGCCUCGCUAUUUGGCCACCUCCUUCGAGCAGCCCAGAAACAAUUGGGAGGAGGCACUUGGCGGGGGGAGAGCGCCUGUUCCGGGGAUUUUCCACUCCAAAAUGUUCGGAUAAUCGGGGAGCCGUCGUUGCGUGUUUUGCGAUGUGUUGAUCUCAGUGGUGUGCCUCCGCUUAUGGCCCCUCCCUUGCCUUCUUAUGGUCCCUGUUCAUGCUGUUUUCCUCGCCUCGGGGCAGUGAGAGCUCUCAGAUGAUUAUGAGAAUAUUAUUA
ensembl:lncRNA